rnacentral:rRNA from 1 species
GCCCCCGGCGGGGCGGGGGCCCGGGGGGAACGCGAAGAACCUUACCAAAUCUUGACAUCCUUUGAAAACUCUAGAGAUAGAGCCUUCCCUUUUGGGGGACAAAGUGACAGGUGGUGCAUGGUUGUCGUCAGCUCGUGUCGUGAGAUGUUGGGUUAAGUCCCGCAACGAGCGCAACCCUUAAGCUUAGUUGCCAUCAUUAAGUUGGGCACUCUAGGUUGACUGCCGGUGACAAACCGGAGGAAGGUGGGGAUGACGUCAAAUCAUCAUGCCCCUUAUGAUUUGGGCUACACACGUGCUACGAUGGACAAUACAAAGGGCAGCUAAACCGCGAAGGUCAUGCAAAUCCCAUAAAGUUGUUCUCAGUUCGGAUUGUAGUUCUGCAACUUCGACUACCAUGAAA